rnacentral:sRNA from 1 species
GAGCUACUGCAGGCGGCCAGCGGGGAGCGCCACUCUCUGCUGCUGCUGACCAACCACAGGGUCCUCUCGUGCGGAGACAACAGCAGGGGUCAGCUGGGCCGCAGGGGCGCGCAGCGCGGGGAGCUGCCAGAACCAAUUCAGGCAUUGGAAACCCUAAUUGUUGAUCUUGUGAGCUGCGGGAAGGAGCACUCCCUGGCUGUGUGCCACAAAGGAAGGGUCUUCGCAUGGGGAGCUGGUUCUGAAGGGCAGCUGGGAAUUGGAGAAUUCAAGGAAAUAAGUUUCACACCUAAGAAAAUAACGACUCUGAAUGGUAUAAAAAUAAUACAAGUUUCCUGUGGACACUGCCACUCCCUGGCAUUAUCAAAAGAUAGCCAAGUGUUUUCAUGGGGAAAGAACAGCCAUGGGCAGCUGGGCUUGGGGAAGGAGUUCCCCUCCCAAGCCAGCCCGCAGAGGGUGAGGUCCCUGGAGGGGAUCCCACUGGCUCAGGUGGCUGCCGGAGGGGCUCACAGCUUUGCCCUGUCUCUCUGUGGGACUUCCUUUGGCUGGGGAAGUAACAGUGCGGGGCAGCUGGCCCUCAGUGGGCGUAAUGUCCCAGUGCAAAGCAACAAGCCUCUCUCAAUUGGUGCACUGAAGAAUCUAGGUGUGGUUUAUAUCAGCUGUGGUGCUGAGCACACUGCUGUGCUUACCCAGGACGGGAAAGUGUUCACAUUUGGAGACAAUCGCUCUGGACAGCUGGGAUACAGCCCCACUCCUGAGAAGAAAGGUCCACAACUUGUGGAAAGAAUUGAUGGCCUAGUUUCGCAGAUAGAUUGCGGAAGAAACUCUAAGCAUGGAUUUAUGACUUUCUUUUAGACCUUGUGGGUGUUCAAGUCAAACACAUUUUUGCUGGAACAUGUGCCAACUUUGUGACAACUCAUCAGAUUAGACCCCUUACCACCACCAUUUCAGAUUUAUUUUUUCUUUAUUGGUAAGUGGGUAUGUUGAAUUUGCAUCAUGUAAAUACACAUACACAUGUAACUUGUGUCAACAGCAGCUGUUUCCAUUUUCAGGAGGGAACUGAAUUUUCCCUGUCCAGGACUGUGAAGGAAGAGUUUCUGACGUGUCCUAUAGGGAAUUUCCCAGUGGCACCUCCUUCAGUGGGAGGAUUGCCAUGUGUGUGAGUGGGCAGGGGUGUGUGUGGCAGGGGUAGCGUGCAGUGUCUCAGCUGUCCUCUGUUGCAAGGAUCACAUCAUCGAGUCCCCAACUCAAGUUUAUUGCUUAAUAAAAUUAAUGAUGAUAGAUAACAGUCAUGACUAAUUUUAACUGCAGUCACCAAGUGUCAGGCAGCAAUCGAAGUUCUUCAAAUGGAUCAAGAUGUUUAAUGCUCAUAUCAACUCUUGUUGAUUUUGUUUUUCACAUUCGACAGAUGAAAAAACUGUCUCAGAGAGGUGAAUUUAUGCAAAGUUGCACUGCUAGUAAGUGGUAGAGCUGGAUUCAAAUCCAGGCAGUCUAACCCAAUAGCUUACACCAUUAUCUACCAUGCUAUAGUGACUUCCUAAUUGUUAACAGGAGGGAUUUUAUUAUUACAUUUCUGGGUGAGUUCCAAAAUAUGUUUAUGGAAACAAAAGCCUUCAUAGUUAUUUUUCUAAUUUGUACUUUUUCCUGUUAUCAGGAAUGUUUUAAAAUUGAUGUUUAAACUUGAUGUUUAAAACAUUCCUGAUGACAGGAAAAAGUACAAAUUAGAAACAUAAUAGACUCUUUCUGUAGUCCCUGGCACAGAAAGUGGUCAGAGGCAAAGGUUUCUGUGCUGUUGGGAUAGUUAGGAGACUAUACUUUGGUUGCUCUAUCAUAGCCAUUCAAUCAGCCACUCAACAAAAAUUGAGACCCUUUUAUAUAUCAGGCUCUGCUCUUGGUGCACUUGGACAAAAGUGAAUAAUACAGACAAAGUUACCCUCAUUCAUAGCAUUUGGAUUCCACAGGCAGGGCCGGACCAUAAAUAUGUAAAUGCAAAAUAAAUAAGAUUGUGUUAGAGGCCCGGCAUGGUGGCUCACGCCUGUAAUCCCAGCACUUUGGGUGACCGAGGCAGGCGGAUCACUUGAGGUCAGGAGUUCGAGACCAGCCUGGCCAAUGUGGUGAAACCCCAUCUCUAGUAAAAACACAAAAACUAGCUGGGAGUGGUGGUACGAGCCUGUAAUCCCAGCUACUUGGGAGGCUGAGGCAGGAGAAUUGUUUGAACCCAGGAGUGGAGAUUGCAGUGGGCUGAGAUCGUGCCACUGCACUCCAGCCUGGGGCACAGAGCAACACUCUGUCUCU